rnacentral:rRNA from 1 species
UACAGAGGUCUCAAGCGUUGUUCGGAUUCAUUGGGCGUAAAGGGCGCGUAGGCGGCGAAGUAAGUCGGGUGUGAAAUCUCAGAGCUCAACUCUGAAACUGCACUCGAUACUGCUCUGCUAGAGGACUGGAGAGGAGAUUGGAAUUCACGGUGUAGCAGUGAAAUGCGUAGAGAUCGUGAGGAAGACCAGUGGCGAAGGCGGAUCUCUGGACAGUUCCUGACGCUGAGGCACGAAGGUCAGGGGAGCAAACGGG